GGGAUUAUUAGGUAACAGUGAUGGUUUCCCUUAAUUGAUGUUUCCGACUGCCGGUCGAUUAUUUGGUUGUUUGUUUACGUGUGUAUGAGGCGUUUAGUUCCCGCCGCCAAAGCAAUGUCGGUGACCUCUCAGCAUGGACGGUCACUUAGCUCCGAUCUUCUCGACUGAUCACAUCCUCUUUUACAUUUAUGGUCGAAUCAGAGAGAGAGAGAAGCAGUUAAUACGACUCUGGGUGCUCCACUCUUUGGCCAUACGACUCUGGGUGCUCCACGCUUUGGCCAUACGGCUCCUGACGCCCUACAAUUAUCAGCAAAAGACCGAGUACAACUAAUUCAAAUUACCUGUCAACCAUAUAUUUAAUUGUUGUAAAUAUUCCUGAAUAUACAUAUGUGUGUUA